rnacentral:rRNA from 1 species
GAUCCUGGCUCAGGAUGAACGCUAGCUACAGGCUUAACACAUGCAAGUCGAGGGGCAGCAUGAACUUAGCUUGCUAAGUUUGAUGGCGACCGGCGCACGGGUGAGUAACACGUAUCCAACCUGCCGAUGACUCGGGGAUAGCCUUUCGAAAGAAAGAUUAAUACCCGACUGGCAUAGUUCUUCCGCAUGGUAGAACUAUUAAAGAAAUUUCGGUUCAUCGAUGGGGAGUGCGUUCCAUUAGGUUUGG